rnacentral:rRNA from 1 species
AUGAACGCUAGCGAUAGGCUUAACACAUGCAAGUCGCGGGGCAGCAUGGUCUUAGCUUGCUAAGACUGAUGGCGACCGGCGCACGGGUGCGUAACGCGUAUGCAACUUGCCUCACAGAGGGGGAUAACCCGUCGAAAGACGGACUAAUACCGCGUACACUCCAUCUUGGGCAUCCAAGGUAGAGGAAAUGAAAUUCGCUGUGAGAUAGGCAUGCGUCCCAUUAGCUAGUUGGUGAGGUAACGGCUCACCAAGGCGACGAUGGGUAGGGGAACUGAGAGGUUGAACCCCCACACUGGUACUGAGACACGGACCAGACUCCUACGGGAGGCAGCAGUGAGGAAUAUUGGUCAAUGGGCGAGAGCCUGAGCCAGCCAAGUCGCGUGAAGGAUGACUGUCUUAUGGAUUGUAAACUUCUUUUAUACGGGAAUAACAAGAGUCACGUGUGACUCCCUGCAUGUACCGUAUGAAUAAGCAUCGGCUAACUCCGUG